CAUGCCGCGUGUGUGAAGAAGGCUUUCGGGUUGUAAAGCACUUUCAGUGAGGAGGAAACCUUAUGGCUAACACCUAUGAGGCUUGACGUUACUCACAGAAGAAGCACCGGCUAACUCCGUGCCAGCAACUGCGGUGACUGAGCGGGCUGGCAAGGCGCAUA
rnacentral:rRNA from 1 species